rnacentral:tRNA from 1 species
GGAUGUGUAGCUUAGUGGUAAAGCACGUGUCUACCAUACACAAAGCACCGACAUGGCAAAAAGAAAGUCUAGGCUGGCUGAAUAAAUGCAUGAAAUGGGUGGGCACAAUAGCUUCCACAUCUA